rnacentral:rRNA from 1 species
GAUGAACGCUGGCGGCGUGCCUAAUACAUGCAAGUCGAGCGAACGGACGAGAAGCUUGCUUCUCUGAUGUUAGCGGCGGACGGGUGAGUAACACGUGGAUAACCUACCUAUAAGACUGGGAUAACUUCGGGAAACCGGAGCUAAUACCGGAUGAUAUUUUGAACCGCAUGGUUCAAAAGUGAAAGACGGUCUUGCUGUCACUUAUAGAUGGAUCCGCGCUGCAUUAGCUAGUUGGUAAGGUAACGGCUUACCAAGGCAACGAUGCAUAGCCGACCUGAGAGGGUGAUCGGCCACACUGGAACUGAGACACGGUCCAGACUCCUACGGGAGGCAGCAGUAGGGAAUCUUCCGCAAUGGGCGAAAGCCUGACGGAGCAACGCCGCGUGAGUGAUGAAGGUCUUCGGAUCGUAAAGCUCUGUUAUUAGGGAAGAACAGAUGUGGAAGUAACUGUGCACAUCUUGACGGUACCUAAUCAGAAAGCCACGGCUAACUACGUG